GUGAACGCUGGCGGUAGGCCUAACACAUGCAAGACGAACGGCAGCACAGUAAGAGCUUGCUCUUACGGGUGGCGAGUGGCGGACGGGUGAGGAAUACAUCGGAAUCUACUUUUUCGUGGGGGAUAACGUAGGGAAACUUACGCUAAUACCGCAUACGACCUACGGGUGAAAGCAGGGGAUCUUCGGACCUUGCGCGAUUGAAUGAGCCGAUGUCGGAUUAGCUAGUUGGCGGGGUAAAGGCCCACCAAGGCGACGAUCCGUAGCUGGUCUGAGAGGAUGAUCAGCCACACUGGAACUGAGACACGGUCCAGACUCCUACGGGAGGCAGCAGUGGGGAAUAUUGGACAAUGGGCGCAAGCCUGAUCCAGCCAUACCGCGUGGGUGAAGAAGGCCUUCGGGUUGUAAAGCCCUUUUGUUGGGAAAGAAAAGCAGCAGGUUAAUACCCCGCUGUUCUGACGGUACCCAAAGAAUAAGCACCGGCUAACUUCGUG
rnacentral:rRNA from 1 species